rnacentral:rRNA from 1 species
GAUGAACGCUGGCGGCGUGCCUAAUACAUGCAAGUCGAGCGAACAGACGAGGAGCUUGCUCCUCGGACGUUAGCGGCGGACGUGUGAGUAACACGUGGAUAACCUCCCUAUAAGACUGGUAUAACUUCGGGAAACCGGAGCUAAUACCGGAUAAUAUAUUGAACCGCAUGGUUCAAUAGUGAAAGACGGUUUUGCUGUCACUUAUAGAUGGAUCCGCGCCGCAUUAGCUAGUUGGUAAGGUAACGGCUUACCAAGGCAACUAUGCGUAGCCGACUUGAGAGGGUGAUCGGCCACACGGGAACAGAGACACUGACCAGACUCCUAGGGGAGGCAGCAGUAGGGAAUCUUGCGCAAUGGGCGAAAGCGUGACGGAGUAACGCAGCGUGAGUGAGGAAGGGCUUGGGAUCGUAAAAUUCUGUUAUUAGGGAGGAACAAAUGUGUAAGUAACUAUGCACGUCUUGACGGUACCUAAUCAGAAAGCCACGGCUAACUACGUG